rnacentral:tRNA from 1 species
UCUUUGUUAGUAUAUCGGUUAGUACACGCGCCUGUCAUUUCAUAACGACCGCGCGAAAGCUGGGUUCGACUCCCAGACAGAGAG